rnacentral:rRNA from 1 species
UACUAUACUAACAAGCAUAAGUAAUCUUAAAUUAUUAAUAGAUAUAAUCUUCAAACUUGAAGAAUUUGGCGGUGGUUUAGUCUUGUUAGAGGAACCUGUUUUUGAAUCGAUACACCACGCAUAAUUUUACUUAUUUUAUUAGUUUGUAUACCGUCAUUAUCAGAUAAUUUUAAAAGAAUUAAUUAUUAAUCGUUUAAAAAAUGAAGACUAAAUUAGAUCAAGGUGCAGCUUAUAAAUAAGCUAAAAUGGGUUACAAUAAAAUUUAUUUAUAUGGAACGAUAUUAGUAAGAUAAAUCAUGAAGGCGGAUUUAA